rnacentral:rRNA from 1 species
CCUACGGGAGGCAGCAGUGUGGAAUAUUGGGCAAUGGGCGCAAGCCUGACCCAGCAACGCCGCGUGAAGGCAGAAGGCUCUCGGGUUGUAAACUUCUUUUAUCAGUGCCGAAGCAAGUGACGGUACCUGAUGAAUAAGCCACGGCUAACUACGUGCCAGCAGCCGCGGUACUACGUAGGUGGCAAGCGUUAUCCGGAUUUACUGGGUGUAAAGGGCGUGGAGGCGGGAAAGCAAGUCAGAUGUGAAAACCAUGGGCUCAACCUGUGGCCUGCAGUUGAAACUGUUUUUGUUGAGUACUGGAGAGGCAGACGGAAUUCCUAGUGUAGCGGUGAAAGGCGUAGAUAUUAGGAGGAACACCAGUGGCGAAGGCGGUCUGCUGGACAGCAACUGACGCUGAGGCGCGAAAGCGUGGGGAGCAAACAGGAUUAGAUACCCUGGUAGUC